GGAAGUGAUGAUAAUGAUUGUCGCCCCAGUCUUAAUUUGCAUCUACAUGGUGUAACGUGGUGACUGACUUUUCUAUCUGAUCC